rnacentral:rRNA from 1 species
UGUCUUUAACUGAUAUGAAGAGCUUGCUCUGAUUUGAUUCUAUCUGACAAAGAGUGGCGAACGGGUGAGUAACACGUGGGUAACCUACCUCUUAGCAGGGGAUAACAUUUGGAAACAAGUGCUAAUACCGUAUAAUACCAACAACCGCAUGGUUGUUGGUUGAAAGAUGGUUCUGCUAUCACUAAGAGAUGGACCCGCGGUGCAUUAGCUAGUUGGUAAGGUAACGGCUUACCAAGGCAAUGAUGCAUAGCCGAGUUGAGAGACUGAUCGGCCACAAUGGGACUGAGACACGGCCCAUACUCCUACGGGAGGCAGCAGUAGGGAAUCUUCCACAAUGGGCGCAAGCCUGAUGGAGCAACGCCGCGUGUGUGAUGAAGGGUUUCGGCUCGUAAAACACUGUUAUAAGAGAAGAACGGCACUGAGAGUAACUGUUCAGUGUGUGACGGUAUCUUACCAGAAAGGAACGGCUAAAUACGUGCCAGCAGCCGCGGUAAUACGUAUGUUCCAAGCGUUAUCCGGAUUUAUUGGGCGUAAAGCGAGCGCAGACGGUUAUUUAAGUCUGAAGUGAAAGCCCUCAGCUCAACUGAGGAAUGGCUUUGGAAACUGGAUGACUUGAGUGCAGUAGAGGAAAGUGGAACUCC